UAUUGGUCAAUGGGCGCAAGCCUGAACCAGCCACGUCGCGUGAAGGAAGACGGCCCUACGGGUUGUAAACUUCUUUUGCAAGGGAAUAAAGUGGGCCACGUGUGGCCUUUUGCAAGUACCUUGCGAAUAAGGAUCGGCUAACUCCGUGCCAGCAGCCGCGGUAAUACGGAGGAUCCGAGCGUUAUCCGGAUUUAUUGGGUUUAAAGGGUGCUCAGGCGGGACAUUAAGUCGGCGGUGAAAUUUUGCGGCUCAACCGUAAAAGUGCCUUCGAAACUGGUAUCCUUGAGUGUGGAUGAGGUAGGCGGAAUUUGUGGUGUAGCGGUGAAAUGCAUAGAUAUCACGAGGAACUCCGAUUGCGCAGGCAGCUUACUAAGCCAUAACUGACGCUCAAGCACGAAGGCGUGGGGAUCAAACAGG
rnacentral:rRNA from 1 species